UGGUGGAGUGAUUUGUCUGGUUAAUUCCGUUAACGAACGAGACCUCAGCCUACUAAAUAGUGGAUACUUUCUAACGAAAGUACCUUUCACUUCUUAGAGGGACAUUUCGGGUUUCACCGGAAGGAAGUUUGAGGCAAUAACA
rnacentral:rRNA from 1 species